rnacentral:rRNA from 1 species
AGCGAACGUUUGCGGCGGGCCUAACACAUGCAAGUCGAACGCACUAGCAAUAGUGAGUGGCGCACGGGUGCGUAACACGUGGGUAAUCAACCCUUCAGCCUGGGAUAACGACUCGAAAGGGUCGCUAAUACCGGAUACGGCGCGAGAGGCUUCGGCUUCUCACGAGAAAGCCACGCAAGGGGCACUGAAGGACGAGCCUGCGGCCCAUCAGCUAGUUGGUGAGGUAAGAGCUCACCAAGGCUAAGACGGGUAGCUGGUCUGAGAGGAUGAUCAGCCACACUGGAACUGAGACACGGUCCAGACUCCUACGGGAGGCAGCAGUGGGGAAUAUUGCGCAAUGGGCGAAAGCCUGACGCAGCCACGCCGCGUGAGCGAUGAAGGCCUUGGUCGUAAGACUCUGUGGGAGAGACGAAGAAAGACCUGUGAAGAGCAGGCCUGACGGUAUCGUCCUUAGCAAG